rnacentral:rRNA from 1 species
GACGAACGCUGGCGGCGUGCUUAACACAUGCAAGUCGAACGGAAAGGCCCUGCUUUUGUGGGGUGCUCGAGUGGCGAACGGGUGAGUAACACGUGAGUAACCUGCCCUUGACUUUGGGAUAACUUCAGGAAACUGGGGCUAAUACCGGAUAGGAGCCCCUGCUGCAUGGUGGGGGUUGGAAAGUUUCGGCGGUUGGGGAUGGACUCGCGGCUUAUCAGCUUGUUGGUGGGGUAGUGGCUUACCGAGGCUUUGACGGGUAGCCGGCCUGAGAGGGUGACCGGCCACAUUGGGACUGAGAUACGGCCCAGACUCCUACGGGAGGCAGCAGUGGGGAAUAUUGCACAAUGGGCGGAAGCCUGAUGCAGCAACGCCGCGUGCGGGAUGACGGCCUUCGGGUUGUAAACCGCUUUCGCCUGUGACGAAGCGUGAGUGACGGUAAUGGGUAAAGAAGCACCGGCUAACUACGUG